GCCAUGCGAGUCGAGAGGGUUCGGCCCUCGGCAGACUGCUCAGUAACGCGUGGAUAACCUACCCUUAGGUGGAGGAUAAUCUCGGGAAACUGAGAAUAAUACUCCAUAGAUCUAGAAUGCUGGAAUGUGCCUAGAUUAAAAGUUCAGGCGCCUAAGGAUGGGUCUGCGGACUAUCAGGUUGUAGUCAGGGUAAUGACCUGACUAGCCUACGACGGAUAUGGGUUGUGAGAGCAAUAGCCCAGAGACGAUAUCUGAGACACGAUAUCGGGCCCUACGGGGCGCAGCAGGCGCGAAAUCUUCACAAUGUGCGAAAGCACGAUGAGGGAAUCCCAAGUGCUGGCACGUAAGUGUCAGCUGUUUCUUAGUCUAAAAAACUUAGAGAGUAAGGGCUGGGUAAGACGGGUGCCAGCCGCCGCGGUAAUACCUGCAGCUCGAGUGGUGGCCGCUAUUAUUGGGCCUAAAACGUCCGUAGCCGGUUUAGUAAAUGCUUGGGUAAAUUGUGUAGCUUAACUAUACGAAUACCGAGUAGACUGCUAAACUUGGGACCGGGAGAGGUUAGAGGUACUCCUGGGGUAGAGGUGAAAUUCUGUAAUCCUGGGGGGACCACCAGUGGCGAAGGCGUCUAACCAGAACGGGUCUGACGGUGAGGGACGAAGCCCUGGGGCGCAAACCGGAUUAGAUACCCGGGUAGUCCAGGGCGCAAACGCUGCUUGCUUGAUGUUAGCUGGGCUCCGAGCUCAAUUAGUGUCGGAGAGAAGUUGUUAAGCAAGCUGCCUGGGAAGUACGAUCGCAAGAUUGAAACUUAA
rnacentral:rRNA from 1 species